UGAUUGAUUCGAUCCAACGGAACAUGUCUAGAAAAGCAGUCAAGUUGAAAUAAAUUGGUAUGAGGCAUCUGAGGAAAAAUCAUCUGAUAAUACACCUAUGAUUUGUGACUCAUAGCCUGGGCGAUUAUGUUGAUAUUUGUUGUCAAUAUAAUCAUGAGUACAAAUGCAUUGAUGAGAGAGAUCUAGCUAGCUUGCUCUAUGGUAUCAGAGAUGCGAUGAUCUGGUGUAGUUCAGUGAUUUGGGGUAUAGACGAGAUUUGGAGUUAUAGUGUUAUGUUAGUUGGAUGGUAUCUUAAUAUAAUACUCCUCACUUUUGAUUCUUCUCGUUAUUGAUCGCACCAACCAUUUCCUGUAUGAAGAGCAGAACGAGAUGAGGAUAUGAUGAGAAUAUAUUUGGGUUGAGAAAACAUGAAUAAGUACCAUGUGUGUACGACUGGGAGAUGUUGGAAUUCAU
rnacentral:lncRNA from 1 species